AACGUACUCCCUCCGUCCUAAAAUUAUUAUUUUAAAUUUGUCUAGAUACGGAUGUAUCUAACACUAAAACGUAAUUAGAUACAUCCGUAUUUAGACAAAUCGAAGACAAAAAUUUGAGACGGAGGGAGUAUAUA
rnacentral:pre_miRNA from 1 species